CACGUAGGGUGCGAGCGUUGUCCGGAAUUAUUGGGCGUAAAGAGCUCGUAGGCGGUGUGUCGCGUCGGCCGUGAAAACCUGCAGCUUAACUGUGGGCUUGCGGUCGAUACGGGCAUCACUGGAGUUCGGCAGGGGAGACUGGAAUUCCUGGUGUAGCGGUGAAAUGCGCAGAUAUCAGGAGGAACACCGGUGGCGAAGGCGAGUCUCUGGGCCGAUACUGACGCUGAGGAGCGAAAGCGUGGGGAGCGAACAGG
rnacentral:rRNA from 1 species